UAAUAAUACACGGUAGAAUAAAACAUAUAAUAAAUGGUUAAAAAGAAAAUAAAAACAAAGUUAUAUAACUCUACAACAAAUUAGAUAUCACUAUUUAAAAAUAAUUAAUAACUAAAAAAUAAAACAAUGACUUACAAAAAUUAAUAAGUAAUACUAUGUUUUGUAAAGUAAUACUAUGUAAGUGUUUUGUAAAGUAAUGCUACGUAAAUACUAAGUAAUAUUAUGUUUUGUAAAGUAAUACUUAUUAGUAAUACUAUGUUUUGUAAACUAAUACUAAACAAAACAUAAUAAUACUAUGUUUUGUAAAGUAAUAAUAUUUAUAAUUUGAGUUAUAUUAUAAAUAUUAUAACUUAAAUUUUAAUUUGUAGGUUUUAAAUGAAAAAUUUUUAAAUAAUUUAUAUUGCUUAUUGUUUGCAAAUAAAAGUAAUUAAUAAUAAAAAUGACAACUGGGUCCCAGCUGGGAUGUAACUCGAUUAUUAGAACUGAUUUAUGGCUGGGAUUUCAACUGGGUAAAAGAUGGGUCCCAUAUAGUGCAACGAUUUUGGCAAAAAUUAUGCUUGGAAAUAUAAUAAAAUCUUUUAAAAUGACAUAUUCAGUAAUGCAGAUUGAUUUGGAUUGAAUAUACACUUGCAUUUGGAGUGAACAGGAACUUAAUUUGGUUCAUUUUUUUGUAUUUUUGCAAAAAAAUAAUUAUUUACAUAUCAGUUUUAAUUCAAAAAAAUGUGGCAUAUUCUUAAACUUCUUAAAUGCUCUAAAUUUCAUAGCCAUUGAUAAGUUUGAGAGUCAAUGUUUACUUUUUUACAGACUUGUUUAAUGUUUUAUCAAACUGAAGGCAUAUUUUUUAUUUUUUUAUGCUAUAGACAAAUGUUGAAAAUUUUUCAAAUUAGUUUAUAUGGUUUGGUGUGCCUACAGUUAUGGCUUAGUCACUAAGUUACGAAAACAAAAUACACUAAGUUAGUGUUUCUAAGUAACACUGCCAUAUCUAAACUUUACAUAUUAUUUAUAAAUACAUAAAUGUUUUACUUUUUCUAUAAGUUAUAUAAUUAAUAAUAUAUUACUUAUAUUAUAAAUACUGUAACUGAUAUUAUAAGUUAUAAUAUAAGGUUUUAUAUAAAAAAAUGUUUAAAUUAUUUAUAUUGUAAAUUAUUUGUAAAUAAUAGUAAGUAAUGACAAAAAUUAUUUGGUGUUUCAAUGUUUAACUUUAUUUGUCUGUAAUAAUAAAAUAAUUAUCACAUUUUGUUUGAACAUAUUUAUUAAAUACAUUUUUAAAAUUCUUUAAAAUAUAAAAUUGUAUAUAUUUUGAUAGCAAUAUUCAGACAUGUGUUUAAGAAACAAUUUGGCCUGUCUAAAAGAGGAAAAUGUUGAGUUUAAAGGUUUUAAGAUGUUUUUUAAUUAAUUUUCACAGGAUGUUAUAUAAUUUUUUUAGAAUGUGUUGUGAAAUAAAAUAGAAUAUGUUAUGAAAUAAAAUUUUAUAUAUAAUAUAAAGUUUUAAAAUAUAAAAUUUAGAUAUAAAAUAAAGUUUUAGAAUAUGUUGUGAAAUAAAAUAAAUGUACAAUCAUAAAAUGCUACUCAAGUGCAAUAUAAAAUUGAAAAUGUAGUUUUGAUACUAAAUAUUGCAACAACUGAAUGCUUGAAUAAUCAUGAAUGUUUUGUAUUUUUCACUUGCUAUAUGUUGGUUUGUGUUGACUAAUGAUUAACAACAGAAAAUACAUUACUUCAACAAAUUUUAAUUUUUUACACAUAAAAGUUAUGAAAAAUCCUAUGAAAUGAUUUAUCUAAAUCUAAUUCCCUGCAAGAUUCCUGUUAAAAAGAAAAACUGAAGAAACUAUAAAACUAGAUGAUGGCAAAUGAAGAAGCCUCUACUUCAAUCUGGCUAUUGUUAUAACACGUAUAUCGAUUUAUAUACUGUAUUGAGUUAGCUUGUGAUUUGUACGUGUGUUUUUGUUUGCCUAUUGUUUGUUAGUUAUAUGCAAGAUAUGGCAUGGUGUUACACACAGCAUGCUAUGCCCUAAAUAAUACUAUCAUUAAAUAUUUUUAUCUAUACUUUGUAAAUAUAUAUGCUAUAAGUUAUUAUACUAUUUAAAUGUUUAUUUUUAAUUUAUAAAAUAAGUGUAAAAGUGGAUGAAAGCACUAAAGAAGCGUAACGAUGAACUUUAUUGUGGCGAUAUGAGAGAACUAAUGAGGCAGUGAUUAUGGUGGCGAUAUGAGAGAACUAAUGUGGCAGAAUAUUACUAAUACCGUAGAACAGUUUUGCAUCAAAUCAUUGUAUAAUAUUAGUUUUUUGUUGCUUAAAAUAUUAUGAAAUUUAAA